UCAUCGUGUGGAGUAUCUCGCGUGGAUACAGUCGGUUAUGGCUCAAGUGACGUAAACAGGUAGACCAGCGGAUGGACCACAGCCAGGUAGCGCUCCACACAGAAAACGGUUUGAAAGAGUGGUCGACCCACAAUUAACGUACAACACAGCCACAGAAUCCAGCAGUUCACAGGCAGAAUGAAAACGACAUUCAGAAAUGAGGAGAAACCAAUGAGAAUCAUUCCUGGAAAGAAGUCUGCGCAUUCAAAAAAUGGAUCACCAGAAGAGUGGUUUGCAAACUGAGAGGUGCCAUUGGAUAGAAAGUCAUUGGUGUUGUUGACUGCCAUAUUUUCCUUUCUUUUCUGUAUGGAACAACGGUAAAAUACUGUAGUUUGUUGCAACAGAAAGCACAAGACAAGAAAGGUGAACAUGAGUUUUAGGUACAUUGUGCACUGAUAUAUGGUAACACUGUAGUAAAUGAUGCGUUUAUACCAAAUAACUACAUCAAAUAUAUUUUAUUUAUUAUAAAGUAUACUUCUCCAAAACUUCCCAACGUUAUUGAACACAUUUGAUUUUUCAAAGGGAAAAGAAAUUGACUAUCAUAUACUCACACAUGAAGAGUUGCACACAUAUCCAUGAAGCCUGUGUUGUGAGGAUUUUGCAUGUAUACCAUGUAUUUUAACAAGAUAGCACCUCCCUUUGUCAACAGAGAGAUUCAAUUGAGAUGACUACAGUAUGCAGAUAGGAGUGAGUAUAUUUAUAAAUAUAUACACAAGCAGAUGCUGUUAUCACAAAUUCCAGCAACAUUUAUUUUGUAACUUAAGGCAGG